CGUACUCGCGCGUGUGUAUGUAUGUAUGUAUGCGCGUGCGUCUGUGUAUUUUGAAUUUAAAAUGUUAUAACUCGGAAGGAUCUGGAUCACAGGUCAUUUCAUUUGAGAUCAAUCCGCACGCAACAGCUGGAAUCACUUACUGAUUCACACAAGGAAGGACACAAUCAGCCGUUUCCUCAAGUUCACGUCAGAGCGGAGAUGAUGUGAGAGAGGCAGACCAGAAGGAUACAGAGACAGUCUCCGCUUGGACUGGCUGAGGAAAGUCUCCUAAAUGGCCCUGGAGAUGUUCUGACUGACUUUGGAGGCUUUUUGGACUGUUUUAUGCCCUCUAUUUAAAGAAGACUUAAUUCUGUAUGUUCAGUCUGUAUGAUAAGUGAAUAAGUGAAUAAAAAGCUUUUGUUUUUAUGUGACUGAAGUUAAUUAUUUUGUUUACAACACCAGCAUAAAUUAUUCGGUAAAUCAUUUAAAAAUGUUAUAAAAAAAUUCCAAAUAAUAAAUAUUAAUUGAAGUAACACAUAAAA